GUAUGUCGUUGAGAGAGUUGUAAACGUUCACGUACCCUAAACUGUUUGUUGUUGUUCACUCUUAAACACAAGCUUUAGCCGUCCGCCGCCAUCUUCAACAUAAACUUUAGCCAUCCGAUGUCGUCUUCCUUGCAGUUGGGCACAUGUUUUUCUGUCUCCAACACAAAAGCCAAAGUAUGAUUAGGUGCUGAAAAAUCAGGUCGAAAUUGUGGUGUUUGAGGCUUCAAUUACUUUUGAUUGUUGCUCUAAGAGAAGCUAAGGUGAUUACACCAACAUGAGUUAUAUAUGUUGCUGUAUGGAUUAUUGUACUUCUGGUUGCCCAUAUAAUUAACAAAAAUUGGGUUUAGUGACCAUUCUUCAGUCAGAUGGGUUCCUUCAUAAUAAACACACAACUUCAGCAACAUCAGUCACAACCUUGACAUGUUCAGCAUGUGGCAUGUCAUAAGGCGUAAACAUAUUUUUCGUGAUUUCGUGAAUUUGAGCCAGUUAAGCAACUAGAAUUAUGGUCUUAAUGACUUUAUGAACACCAACUGGCUUCCUUGGGACUAUAGUUGUGAAUGCUCUAGUGACUAGUAUUAUACCACAAUUUCGAUCGGGCAUUUUAAAAACUUUCAUACACCUGACUUUACUUCACUUUGUAUCAUCUGCAUAGUAUGACAUGCAUUUUCUCACAUAUAAUGCCUAAAAUAUCGACCAGAAUAAAUUUCUGGAUCUACAGACAGACCAGUUGAAUCAAUUUUCAAAUGUACGCAAAAUUAGCGGGCGAAAAGUUUUGAAUUUGAGUUUGCAAACAUUAGUUUUA